GACGAACGCUGGCGGCGUGCUUAACACAUGCAAGUCGAACGGAAAGGCCCUGCUUGCCGGGUACUCGAGUGGCGAACGGGUGAGUAACACGUGGGUGAUCUGCCCUGCACUUCGGGAUAAGCCUGGGAAACUGGGUCUAAUACCGGAUAGGAGCCAUUUUUAGUGUGAUGGUUGGAAAGUUUUUUCGGUGUAGGAUGAGCUCGCGGCCUAUCAGCUUGUUGGUGGGGUAAUGGCCUACCAAGGCGGCGACGGGUAGCCGGCCUGAGAGGGUGGACGGCCACAUUGGGACUGAGAUACGGCCCAGACUCCUACGGGAGGCAGCAGUGGGGAAUAUUGCACAAGGGGCGCAAGCCUGAUGCAGCGACGCCGCGUGGGGGAUGACGGCCUUCGGGUUGUAAACUCCGUUCGCUAGGGACGAAGCUUUUUGUGACGGUGCCUAGAGAAGAAGCACCGGCUAACUACGUG
rnacentral:rRNA from 1 species